AGAGUUUGAUCAUGGCUCAGGAUGAACGCUGGCGGCGUGCCUAACACAUGCAAGUCGAGCGAUCUUCUUCGGAAGAGAGCGGCGGACGGGUGAGUAACGCGUGGGUAACCUGCCCUGUACACACGGAUAACAUACCGAAAGGUAUGCUAAUACGAGAUAAUAUACUUUUAUCGCAUGGUAGAAGUAUCACAGCUCCGGCGGUACAGGAUGGACCCGCGUCUGAUUAGCUAGUUGGUAAGGUAACGGCUUACCAAGGCGACGAUCAGUAGCCGACCUGAGAGGGUGAUCGGCCACAUUGGAACUGAGACACGGUCCAAACUCCUACGGGAGGCAGCAGUGGGGAAUAUUGCACAAUGGGCGAAAGCCUGAUGCAGCAACGCCGCGUGAGCGAUGAAGGCCUUCGGGUCGUAAAGCUCUGUCCUCAAGGAAGAUAAUGACGGUACUUGAGGAGGAAGCCCCGGCUAACUACGUGCCAGCAGCCGCGGUAAUACGUAGGGGGCUAGCGUUAUCCGGAAUUACUGGGCGUAAAGGGUGCGUAGGUGGUUUCUUAAGUCAGAGGUGAAAGGCUACGGCUCAACCGUAGUAAGCCUUUGAAACUGGGAAACUUGAGUGCAGGAGAGGAGAGUGGAAUUCCUAGUGUAGCGGUGAAAUGCGUAGAUAUUAGGAGGAACACCAGUUGCGGAGGCGGCUCUCUGGACUGUAACUGACACUGAGGCACGAAAGCGUGGGGAGCAAACAGGAUUAGAUACCCUGGUAGUCCACGCCGUAAACGAUGAGUACUAGCUGUCGGAGGUUACCCCCUUCGGUGGCGCAGCUAACGCAUUAAGUACUCCGCCUGGGAAGUACGCUCGCAAGAGUGAAACUCAAAUGAAUUGACGGA
rnacentral:rRNA from 1 species